rnacentral:rRNA from 1 species
GCGGAAGGCCCUUCGGGGUACUCGAGCGGCGAACGGGUGAGUAACACGUGAGCAACCUGCCCCAGGCUUUGGGAUAACCCCGGGAAACCGGGGCUAAUACCGAAUAUGACCUCUGACCGCAUGGUUGGUGGUGGAAAGUUUUUCGGCUUGGGAUGGGCUCGCGGCCUAUCAGCUUGUUGGUGGGGUGAUGGCCUACCAAGGCGACGACGGGUAGCCGGCCUGAGAGGGCGACCGGCCACACUGGGACUGAGACACGGCCCAGACUCCUACGGGAGGCAGCAGUGGGGAAUAUUGCACAAUGGGCGGAAGCCUGAUGCAGCGACGCCGCGUGAGGGAUGACGGCCUUCGGGUUGUAAACCUCUUUCAGCAGGGACGAAGCGUAAGUGACGGUACCUGCAGAAGAAGCGCCGGCCAACUACGUGCCAGCAGCCGCGGUAAGACGUAGGGCGCGAGCGUUGUCCGGAUUUAUUGGGCGUAAAGAGCUCGUAGGCGGCUUGUCGCGUCGACCGUGAAAACUUGGGGCUCAACCCCAAGCCUGCGGUCGAUACGGGCAGGCUAGAGUUCGGUAGGGGAGACUGGAAUUCCUGGUGUAGCGGUGAAAUGCGCAGAUAUCAGGAGGAACACCGGUGGCGAAGGCGGGUCUCUGGGCCGAUACUGACGCUGAGGAGCGAAAGCGUGGGGAGCGAACAGGAUUAGAUACCCUGGUAGUCCACGCUGUAAACGUUGGGCGCUAGGUGUGGGGGGCCUCUCCGGUUCCCUGUGCCGCAGCU